AGCUCCUGUGGCCUAGUGGUUAAAGCGUCCUCCUCAGAUGCGGGAGGUCGAGGGUUCGAUCUCCGGUCGAGUCA